rnacentral:rRNA from 1 species
UACCAUGCAGUCGACGGACCCUUUCGGGGGUUAGUGGCGGACGGGUGAGUAACACGUGAGAAUCUGCCCAUAGGACGGGGACAACAUCGGGAAACUGGUGCUAAUACCGGAUGAGCCGCGAGGUAAAACAUUUAUGGCCUAUGGAGGAGCUCGCGACUGAUUAGCUAGUUGGUGAGGUAAGAGCUUACCAAGGCGACGAUCAGUAGCUGGUCUGAGAGGAUGAUCAGCCACACUGGGACUGAGACACGGCCCAGACUCCUACGGGAGGCAGCAGUGGGGAAUUUUCCGCAAUGGGGGCAACCCUGACGGAGCAACGCCGCGUGAGGGAAGAAUGGUUGUGGCCAGUAAACCUCUUUUAAUAGGGAAGAAUUCUGACGGUACCUAUUGAAUAAGCAUCGGCUAACUCCGUGCCAGCAGCCGCGGUAAUACGGAGGAUGCAAGCGUUAUCCGGAAUUAUUGGGCGUAAAGCGUCCGCAGGUGGUUAGUCAAGUCAGCUGUUAAAUACUCAGGCUUAACUUGGGAUAUGCAGUUGAAACUGAUUGACUAGAGUACGGUAGGGGUAGAGGGAAUUCCUAGUGUAGCGGUGAAAUGCGUAGAUAUUAGGAAGAACACCAGUGGCGAAGGCGCUCUACUGGGCCUGUACUGACACUGAGGGACGAAAGCUAGGGGAGCGAAAGGGAUUAGAUACCCCUGUAGUCCUAGCUGUAAACGAUGGAUACUAGGUGUUGGACGUAUCGAC